rnacentral:rRNA from 1 species
CACGUAGGGGGCAAGCGUUGUCCGGAUUUAUUGGGCGUAAAGAGCUCGUAGGUGGUUCGGUAAGUCGGGUGUUAAACCCCCAGGCUCAACCUGGGGACGCCACCCGAUACUGCUGUGACUAGAGUCCGGUAGGGGAGCGUGGAAUUCCUGGUGUAGCGGUGAAAUGCGCAGAUAUCAGGAGGAACACCAGCGGCGAAGGCGGCGCUCUGGGCCGGUACUGACACUGAGGAGCGAAAGCGUGGGUAGCAAACAGG